rnacentral:tRNA from 1 species
GAAAAAGCAUGCAAGAACUGCUAACUCAUGCUUCCUCACUUAACAGUGAGGCUUUUUCG